rnacentral:rRNA from 1 species
UUAUGGCUCAGGAUGAACGCUAGCGGCAGGCUUAACACAUGCAAGUCGAGGGGCAUCGGGAGUAGCAAUACUUGCCGGCGACCGGCGCAAGGGUGCGUAACGCGUGAGCAACAUGCCCGUAUCAGGGGGGAUAAUCCAUGGAAACGUGGUCUAAUACCCCAUAGUAAUUAUGUAAGGCAUCUUAUAUAAUUUAAAGCUUUGGUGGAUACGGAUUGGCUCGCGUGACAUUAGCUAGAUGGUAAGGUAACGGCUUACCAUGGUUACGAUGUCUAGGGGUUCUGAGAGGAAGGUCCCCCACACUGGAACUGAGACACGGUCCAGACUCCUACGGGAGGCAGCAGUGAGGAAUAUUGGACAAUGGAUGGAAAUCUGAUCCAGCCAUGCCGCGUGCAGGAAGAACCGGCCCUAUGGGUUGCAAACUGCUUUUGUAUGGGAGCAAUAAGGGCUACGCGUAGUCCGAUGAGAGUACCAUACGAAUAAGCACCGGCUAACUCCGUGCCAGCCGCAGC